AAAUGAGUAAAUCAAUUAAAUAUAUUUAAAACACAUAUGUCAAAAUUAAAGUAACACAUUAUAAAUUUUCAGAACUUGUGUUAAGAAAAAACUUUAUUAUUCUAUAUAAGAUUCACUUUGAUUGCAGUAAUCACCAAACUUUACUAAAUUAAAUUUACAUUUUUGUAAAUGAAGUAACUAGUGAUUAUUAUCACUCAAAUUCAAGCAUCUCUGUCUCCACUCCAUAUUUUACUUCAAAAUGAAGUAAAAAAUAGAGUGAUGGAAAAAAAAUAAAAAAUUACUCCAUUUGUAGAGUAAUCAUUUUUUUUGUUCAUCACUCUAUUUUCCAUUCUAUUUUACAGUGUAAAUGUAGAUGCCCUUAUAAAAACCCAUUAAAACUAAAUCUAAACGAAAAUCGUAUGGAAAUUUUUUUUAUAUUUUGUGUAAUAAGCUCAAAAAAAUAUUAUAUUAAAAAAAUUAAUCGUAUAAUGAAAGAUUAUAGAAUUAUCUAACCUUGGACAUCAUAGAUCAAUCAAUAAUCUAAAAAGUGCAUAAUCUAAAAUAAGAAUACUCCCUUACGCUUUCAUAAUAAGCAAAAUAAAAAUCAUAUGGUUGGAUAUUCUUAAUUAUGUUCGCAAUAUAAAACCUCGCGUGUGAGAGCCAGAAGUAGGCCUGCGGUUAUUAACCGAACCUGCUGAACCAAAAAGUUUGGUUUAAUCCAACAACUAAAAAUACGAUUUUCGAUUCAGUAGGUUAAUUCGGUUUUCUAAAAAAAAAAAAUCAAACAAUACCAAUUAUAAAAAAGACUAAACUUCAAACCGAAAUAACCAAACUUACUGAAACUUUCGAAUUAUAUUCCAAAAACCAAAAACUUUGUUUGAAAAUUUUAAAACCGAACUAAUCAAAGCUGAACCGAAGAAGAUUUCUUCUCGGCUCACUUCGGUUAGAUUUCGACCACCCGAAAUAAUUGAAAUCCGAACAAACCGACCUGAACUAAGUGAAGAAAUCAAAAUCCGCAAGCCUAGCCUGAAGUUUAAGAAAUUAAGAGAAGCAACACACCAAGUCCGUGUUACGACUCAAUCUCAAGAUGCAGAUUGGAAAGGAAAUGCUGGAUGGAUUGGAGCAUGAAAGCAUCAAUGUAUACAUAUACUAUGGAAAACUUAUUGAAGAUACCCAUUAAAUUUAUCCAAAUUUCAAGCAAACCACCAGCUUUCACAUGCAUGAGUGGCCAACUUUCUUAAUGGUUUUGGAAUAAGUUUUUUUUCUCUCACUAAUCUCUUAACUGUAGAGCUAAUCAGCUGACUCAAAGAACUAGAGAUCAGGAUCUUGUUUUUUCAUUGUAGGUUCUUACGGUGCCGGUUUGAUUCAACUCCGUAGGAUUCUAAUCUAAUCACCAUGAUGACAUACGUGUAAAUACAUUAAUUUGAGUUCCUGGUUUUCAACUACCUUAAUUUUUUUCUAGUGAGAAAACUAGAGACCGCAUCUCCUUGGCCUUUGUAUACUUUCGGUCUUCCAUCAUUCUUAAGCUUGAGAUGCGGUUCCUGACCAGCUUGUCGAUCUGUUUAAUCAAAACUGCAUGGGAAUUAUCCUUCUCUCCAUGCCGCCUCCCAUUCCUUUCGUACCAGAUGGUUAAUAGUGUGGCCUGAAACACGUAUCUGAGAAAGAACAAAUGUACCUUUUUCCGUGUUUGAUCAUUUAUAAGGCGAGUGACCCCAUCCCAUUCACUAGUGUAUUGCCCAGACCAGGGGCAGAACCAGCUCCAUAUCUAGACGGGGGCACAUCAAAAAAUUUCAUUAUGUCUAGUUAUAAAAUCAUAAAAACAUUACAUAAACCAGUAUUAAUCAGUUUAAAAAUAAUUAAAAAUCAGUAGGAGGCACAUGCCCCCGUAGGUCUUAG
rnacentral:lncRNA from 1 species